UACGAAGGGUGCUAGCGUUGUUCGGAAUCACUGGGCGUAAAGGGCGCGUAGGCGGCUUUUCAAGUCAGAGGUGAAAGCCCGGGGCUCAACCCCCGGAAUUGCCUUUGAAACUGUAAAGCUUGAGUGUCGGAGGGGAUAGCGGAAUUGCUAAUGUAGAGGUGAAAUUCGUAGAUAUUAGCAGGAACACCGGUGGCGAAGGCGGCUAUCUGGACGACAACUGACGCUGAGGCGCGAAAAGCGUGGGGGAUCAAACAGG
rnacentral:rRNA from 1 species